UGAUGUUUUGCUAUGUGUGUGUUUUUGUUGUGGGCAUGUUGGGAGAGUUACCAGAUGACUAAGGGGUAAAGCACUUGCUGAUGCUCUGGAAAAUACAUCAGCACCGAGUCCUUCAGUCGAUACGAGCUCGCGGUCAUCCAGCUGUCCUCCAGCUGGUUAGAUCUCCCCGUCACUAAAACAAGGUUAAAGGAGGAUAAACCGAGUUAUGCAUGUCAUGGUCCAGUUCCCCUGUGCCGGCUCAUUCUUUUCUCUUCUCAUUUUCCUCUCUCUCUCUGUCUGUCUGAGUCUUACUCUGUGUGUGUGUGUG